AUUGAACGCUGGCGGCAGGCCUAACACAUGCAAGUCGAACGGUAACAGGAAGACGCUUGCUUCUUUGCUGCCGAGUGGCGGACGGGUGAGUAAUGUCUGGGAAACUGCCUGAUGGAGGGGGAUAACUACUGGAAACGGUAGCUAAUACCGCAUAACGUCGCAAGACCAAAGAGGGGGACCUUCGGGCCUUUUGCCAUCGGAUGUGCCCAGAUGGGAUUAGCUAGUAGGUGGGGUAACGGCUCACCUAGGCGACGAUCCCUAGCUGGUCUGAGAGGAUGACCAGCCACACUGGAACUGAGACACGGUCCAGACUCCUACGGGAGGCAGCAGUGGGGAAUAUUGCACAAUGGGCGCAAGCCUGAUGCAGCCAUGCCGCGUGUAUGAAGAAGGCCUUCGGGUUGUAAAGUACUUUCAGCGGGGAGGAAGGGAGUAAAGUUAAUACCUUUGCUCAUUGACGUUACCCGCAGAAGAAGCACCGGCUAACUCCGUG
rnacentral:rRNA from 1 species